rnacentral:rRNA from 1 species
AGACAGGGAGACAGGUGGUGCAUGGUUGUCGUCAGCUCGUGUCGUGAGAUGUUGGGUUAAGUCCCGCAACGAGCGCAACCCCUACGUUUAGUUGCUAACGCGUGAAGGCGAGCACUCUAGACGAACUGCCGUUGACAAACGGAGGAAGUGGGGAUGACGUCAAAUCAUCAUGCCCCUUAUGUUCCGGGCUACACACGUGCUACAAUGGCCGGUACAGACGGACGCAAAGCCGCGAGGCGGAGCAAAUCCGAAAAAGCCGGUCUCAGUUCGGAUUGCAGGCUGCAAUUCGCCUGCAUGAAGUCGGAAUCGCUAGUAAUCGCAGGUCAGCAUACUGCGGUGAAUACCGGUUCCCGGGCCUU